rnacentral:tRNA from 1 species
GCGGAUAUGGCGGAAUUGGUAUACGCGUAUGGUUCAGGUCCAUAUGGGCUUUAGUUCGUGCAGGUUCAAGUCCUGUUAUCCGCACCA